CUGAAGCCAGACGACUCAGCUCCCCACCACCCCCAGCUCUGGCUCCUGAUGUCCCUAUCACCUCUCUCUAGCUGUUGCCCCGGCACGUGAGCUCAGAACCAGUGAUUCUGUUGUUGGUAAGUACAUGCAUAGUCCCUUUAAGACAAGCACCUAAGACUCCAGCAGACCUCUGUCUCAGCUUCAAUCUCUGCUGGUUUUCACAACCAGAAAUUAUGGGGACUUUUCUCCCUGGCACUGGAAACCUGGACUGGGGAGUCCUGUGUGGCACUGGGACCCCUUGUUCCUUCAGGGGAGACUUCUGCAGGUGAGAUAUUCCUCCCAAUUUUUAAUGGUCACAUGCGGGUGUUGGACCAGCCUGUUCCAGGUCUCUGCCCUUCCUACCAGUCUCGAGGUGGCUUCUUCUGUAUGUCCUAAGUUGUAGAUCUUCUGUUCAACAAGAUUUCAGGUGAUUCUCAUUGAUGGUUGUUUUUUAGUUUAGUUGUAACUUUGAUGUGGUUGGGAGAGAAGUUAAGCACCACAUUUACGUACUCUGCCAUCUUGACUGGAACUCAAAGUCAAGAAAAUAUCUUAAAUGAAUAUAAUGCAAAGGGCACACUGGAAAAGAUCAGCAGAUAAUGAUUUUGGAACAUCCAAUUUACGCUGCCAUUAAGUCAGAAAUCCCCACAGAAAAACAAACAAACAAAAAACUUAAUUAACUCUGUCCCUCUCCCCCAGGGCUGAGUGUCAGAGGAGUCCAGCUGAGAGCUGGACCCAUCCAAGUGCCCUCAGGGGCUAUAUGCCUUGUUUUUCAACACACUGCACCUCAUGGCAAACUCAGAGCCCAAGUGAGUUUCCUUUUCUCAUGUAAAAGUGUAUGUCGCAAUGCCUUGUUUUUAAUGGUUUCUGUAGUAAAGCACUGCCAGUCCUUGCAUGUCUCUUCUCAUAGGCUCCUCACUCAUCAGCAGAGGAGGAUUUCACAAUAAGCACAGUCAAUACGGUAAUCAACUCGUCCCAGUCUGCCAAGGUUAACACUGAAAGUCCUGCAUCCAUGGAAGCACCUGAGUCCAGGGAAAACCAGAAUGGUUGGUCACCCUAUUGUCAGGACUAUAUCGUAUUUCGAUCUUUCCUCUGACCCCAGGAGUCAGCUAUUACCAAAAAGUCUUCUCUGCGAAUUGCCUUUCUAGAGCCAAAACACUCCUGUUACAGCUCUCCUUCAGAGGUAUUCCUCGUAUUGUCAGUGAAUAAAUUCACUAUGUACCACACCUCUUAGCACACCAAUAAAUAUGUCUAAUAUUCCUAUCAACUUACAAGUCAACCAGUUCCACAACUUUGAGCUUGGACUACAUAGGGUCUCUUGGUUCUCCCAAAACAUUCAAAGUAAGGAGAAUCUGGACACAAAAUUAAAAAGAGAAGUUUAAGUAUUUUACAUUGCAAUAGAAAUGUUUGAGGAUCAUGCUUCAGUUUUUAGCUAACAAAACUUCGCAUACUUAAAUUCUGUAAAGUUGGGAGAAGCAGCAAAGACCGAAAAUCUGACAUUUCUUUCACUAGGCAUCAACAACUAGUUUCCUAUGCUUGUCUGUCCCUAUCAGGAAAAAUCUGCAUGGCUGAAUUCUCACGAAAAUUGCCUAACAAAGUCCCUUCUGUUCUCUCCUCUUUCCCGAAAACCGCAGUGAGGCCGGGUCUCACGCAAGGAGAGAGGGUCAGGUGGAGAGAGGGACAGGUGCAGAGAGGCCAGCUCCUCGCUAGAUCACGAGGAGCUAUCCGAAUAUUUUUUUCAGACGUCCCUUCAGGACAGUGCGUGCGCGGGAUCCAGAAGACCUAGGGCCGUGGUUAGGUGGCUCUCCCGGGGGAUCAAGUAAGCCAGCAGAAAGGACAGCACGGAGGAUAUUUCCUGAAAGCCUUCCAGUUGCUCAACCAAGUGCUGUGACAAAACAAAGGUGAAAGAAGGGGCUGAUGGGAUACAAAUGAUGCCCCAGUGAGACUUCCAGUACAUCCCAUCCAAAGAGGGUCCACAUGGCCUUCUGGGUGGAUCCUGAGACCCCGUCCCCUCAUCUAAGAUCAGAUAAAGCAAGAGUUCCGUGAAUCCCCGAUAGGUAGGGACAAUGGCCACAUUCAGCAGGAAGCAGAUACAGAAGAGCUCUCCUGUCCCUCAACUUCUCAUAGAGAUUUAUGGGGAUCACAUCUCUCAAGGGGAACAUGAGGCAGGCAGUUAGAGACAGGAAUUGGGUCUCUAAUAUGCCCAAACACGUCAGGUAACAUUACUGCACAUCCAACAUGGCCUACGAAGUGCGACUGCCCAGAAGACCUCCCCUCUCUGCCCAAACCUUGUCUUAUCCACUAUAACCAUCAACUACUAUGAAGAAGCUAACGGAUACAAAAUACCUAACUAGAUUAGACCGAUCACUCACACCUGUGCAGUAAAUGCUACAAUGACCUUCAUCUCACCUUAGCCUCAUUAUACCAUCAUUAUAAUAUCAUACAUAUGCCCAGAAGUUCAUUAAUAUCAUUAUAAUAGAAUGAAUUCUGGGAAGGAAUACACACAGUCUGAAAAGAUGAGGUAGUAGUCUCCUGUCAAUCAUAAGUACCAAUUAAGAGACCCCACUCCCAGAAAGGAGUAGCCUAUUAUAGAAGAGAAGGAAAUAAAAACUCCGAGUCCUCACCAGUAGGCACCUUUUGAGCCACCAUGUUGCUCAGCCCGCUCCUAUUUCUUUGGAGUGUACUUUCACUUCCAAUAAACUGCUCUUUCACAACUGUA